UAGAGUUUGAUCCUGGCUCAGGACGAACGCUGGCGGCGUGCNUAAUACAUGCAAGUAGAACGCUGAAGAGAGGAGCUUGCUCUUCUUGGAUGAGUUGCGAACGGGUGAGUAACGCGUAGGUAACCUGCCUUGUAGCGGGGGAUAACUAUUGGAAACGAUAGCUAAUACCGCAUAACAAUGGAUGACACAUGUCAUUUAUUUGAAAGGGGCAAUUGCUCCACUACAAGAUGGACCUGCGUUGUAUUAGCUAGUAGGUGAGGUAAUGGCUCACCUAGGCGACGAUACAUAGCCGACCUGAGAGGGUGAUCGGCCACACUGGGACUGAGACACGGCCCAGACUCCUACGGGAGGCAGCAGUAGGGAAUCUUCGGCAAUGGGGGCAACCCUGACCGAGCAACGCCGCGUGAGUGAAGAAGGUUUUCGGAUCGUAAAGCUCUGUUGUAAGUCAAGAACGGGUGUGAGAGUGGAAAGUUCACACUGUGACGGUAGCUUACCAGAAAGGGACGGCUAACUACGUGCCAGCAGCCGCGGUAAUACGUAGGUCCCGAGCGUUGUCCGGAUUUAUUGGGCGUAAAGCGAGCGCAGGCGGUUUGAUAAGUCUGAAGUUAAAGGCUGUGGCUCAACCAUAGUUCGCUUUGGAAACUGUCAAACUUGAGUGCAGAAGGGGAGAGUGGAAUUCCAUGUGUAGCGGUGAAAUGCGUAGAUAUAUGGAGGAACACCGGUGGCGAAAGCGGCUCUCUGGUCUGUAACUGACGCUGAGGCUCGAAAGCGUGGGGAGCGAACAGGAUUAGAUACCCUGGUAGUCCACGCCGUAAACGAUGAGUGCUAGGUGUUGGAUCCUUUCCGGGGAUUCAGUGCCCNCANCUAACNCAUUAAGCACUCCGCCUGGGGGAGUACCACCGCCAAGGUUNGAAACCUCCAAAGGAAAUNGACGGGGG
rnacentral:rRNA from 1 species